rnacentral:lncRNA from 1 species
UAGACUUCCUAGCAUGGGCUGUUGUGCUGGAGAGAACGAGAGCUACGAAGAGACUACAGUGCCUCUGACUUUUUCAUAGGACAGUUGGCCGGUGAAUCUUAUUAAUAGUUUACCACAAUUAAGUGUUCAUUUUUAGUCUAGAAGGGACAGGCGUUUAUUGUGCAUUGGCCAGUGCCAGCACAUCCGAUGCAAGGCAGUUCACCGUAUUCUAUCUUUAAUUUUUACCAUGGUCCUCUGAGGUAGGUGUUCUUAUCUCUCUCUCUCUCUCUCUCUUUUAAACAGAGGAAGACAAACAUAAAGAUGAAGUGCUUAAUUCAAGGUCACACAAUGUCGGGGAUGGACCUCCAGAUUUCCUUACUGACCUGCAUUAUCUUGUGGAUACCUGAGUGAAUUCCACACCACCCAUUUUAUAGAUGAAACCACUGAGACAUGGAGCAAUUGACUGAGUAGUCACUGCCCCACCCCUGCCUGGAGCCUCACACAUGACUCGCCUCCUCUCAGUGACCACAGUACUUAUCCUGUAUUACAUGAAGGAAAUGAAAUAAAAAGACUGCAGCCCCACUCCCAGCUACUCAGUGAGGUGGUAGCUAGGAAAACAAGCUCAGGGCUCCCACUGAUUGUACAUUAUGAGACGGAGUCUUGCUAUGUUGCCCAGGCUGGUCUUGAACUCCUCACCUCAAGCGAUCCUCCCGUCUUGGCCUCCCAAGUGUCAGGAUUACGGGCAUGUGCUAUCACACCCAACCUGAUACAUUGCCUUUAUAAAUUUUUUUUUCUUUAUUCUAAAAACCAGAAAAAACAAAACUGGAUACAUGUGCAGAACAUGCAGGUUUGUUACAUAGCUGUACGUGUGCCAUGGUGGUUUGCUGCACCUAUUGACCUAUCCUGUAAGUUCCCUCCCCUCACCCCC